GGUCCUCUGCAUCUUGGAUUCCAUCGACGUUGGUGGAAAUGGGUAAGCUUGUGUGGUCUUUUUCUUUCUCCUCAAUCAGCUGAUGAAUAGCCUUUUGAAUCAACUCCAUGCUCUCUUCUUCUUCCUUCUCUCUAGCCAUAGCUCUCUCUCUCUCUACUAAAAUCCGGAAAAAGAAAAAAACAUUAACUUUUCAUCUCCAUUAAAGAGGGAUAUCUAGAAAUGGAAUCCCCUCUCUCUCUCUCAAUAAUGCCAUCUUCUCCUUGGUCAGUAGCGUCCACCAUGCUUUGAGGCUCCAGUUUCGUGACGCGCCGAAUUGCGGGGCUCGUUUCGGUGAAUGAGACCG
rnacentral:lncRNA from 1 species